GCUGGCUGACAGCGGCGUUGCGCUUGCAUCGGCGUCGUGGAGAGCGGGGGCUGUCCCGGCACUGCCACGGGCGUAGCACCCAGAUGCUUGGGCCGUCUUAAGAUUGCAGGCACAUUCUUGUGGCAUGUCUGUCUGUGUUAUUUGGUAUUGUUGAAUUGUCUUCUCUAUUACGAAACAUGCUAUCAAUAGAAGCAGAAGUUGCAAAUCAUCUCGUUGUUUGAAGAUUACGAAGCUCGAGAGAGACGAGUAUUGCAAACAAUUAUGACAAGUACACUGAAUUUCCAGAAUUGAAAAGAUGGUAAUGGUGGAUGUGCGCAUGUGGACACCAAAAGCCAUGCUGAGCUGCUAGCAAUGCUGUGCAGACCUUGUGGCAUUUGAUUAUUUGGGACUUCUCUGACUAAAGAGAUGCCUAUGUGAAAAAAUUACGGAGUUGGUUCAGGAACAUAAUUAUAUGAUCCUGCUAUGUAAUAAAGUAUAUUUGUACCCA